rfam:Peptoniphilus sp. ING2-D1G genome assembly, chromosome: I
UUCGGUGACAAAAGCAAGAGGGACACACCUGUACCCAUACCGAACACAGAAGUUAAGCCUCAACAGCGCUGAUGGUACUUGGCCGGAGACGGCCUGGGAGAGUAAGUAUCGCCGGAU